rnacentral:rRNA from 1 species
AAACCAACAGGUAUUGCUUUAGUAACGGCGAGUGAAGCGGCAAAAGCUCAAAUUUGAAAUCUAGUACCUUCGGUGCUCGAGUUGUAAUUUGAAGAAGGUAACUUUGGAAUUGGCCCUUGUCUAUGUUCCUUGGAACAGGACGUCAUAGAGGGUGAGAAUCCCGUGUGAUGAGGUGUCCAGUUCUAUGUAAAGUGCUUUCGAAGAGUCGAGUUGUUUGGGAAUGCAGCUCUAAGUGGGUGGUAAAUUCCAUCUAAAGCUAAAUAUUGGCGAGAGACCGAUAGCGAACAAGUACAGUGAUGGAAAGAUGAAAAGAACUUUGAAAAGAGAGUGAAAAAGUACGUGAAAUUGUUGAAAGGGAAGGGCAUUAGAUCAGACUUGGUGUUUUAUGAUUAUCUUCCUCUUGUAGGUUGUGCACUCGUAUUUCACUGGGCCAGCAUCGAUUUGGAUGGUGGGAUAAUGACUUUGGAACGUAGCACUCUUCGGGGUGUAUUAUAGCCUUUGUUGAUACCGCCUGUCUAGAUCGAGGAAUGCGUCUUUGACAAGGAUGCUGGCGUAAUGAUCCAAUGCCGC